rnacentral:lncRNA from 1 species
GUCCCAUCCUGCACAAUAAUCCAACUAUAUCAAAACAGUCCUCGAAAACUAUUCGCAUUGAUUGCACAGGCUCUAGAUGAUGAAGUUAAUAUAUGAGCAAUUUUAAAAUAUUUUCUUUUUGAACUAAAAGGAAAGAGGUUGUAGUUCCAGGAUCGAAUUUAUGCCAAAAAUACUCAACGCAAAAAUCAAGAUUUUCUCAAAAUAAAACAGAAAAUAAGAACACGAGAGAUUUUUCGACCAAAAGGCCCGAGAGGUUCAAUGACCACUUCUAAUGCUUAGUCCACCAUUGAGCAUCCAUAAAGGAUUGAACUCGAAUCCACUAAAUAGGCCAAAAUAGGCAAAGAUCAAAUUAUAGAACACAAAGUUCCCAAAUCAAAAAUACAACACAAUCUUCCCACAGUAGAACUCACACAAGAGUUUCUCUAACAAUUCUCCCAAAAUCACAAAAAAUAUUUUCAAAGAAAUCAAAAGAUUAGAUUAGAGAAGAUGAAAGGCACGCAGCCAAGAAAAGUCUCAAAAUACUAAUUGUUAACCCUAAAAAAUCAGAUGCUUCCUAUUUAUAUGAAAGGUAAGGAUCCAACGUCCACCAAUUUGCCACUUGUCAUUGAUCCAAAGAAAAGACGCUCAUUAUGGUCAAAAACACAGGUUUCGAGUUAAAAGAUCAGCCUUCCAGAUUCUUCUUCACGGAUCAUGAUAUUGGGCCAUUUAUUUGGGCUCAAUUCAAUAGCCUUGAGAAAAAUGGGCUCACAUCACAAAGUGCAGCAACCCAACAACUUACAAUCUCCACCUUUGCUAUAUUUUGUGCUUGCAUCUAUGUGGAUUCUAACUUAGUCUUUUAUUUCAUUUGCUCUAGUCACCUGAAAAGAAAAAUUGUUAGCAAGUUUCGAGAUUUAAUAAUCUCAAACAAUUUGAAAACUUACAAAGUGGUAUUACCUUUGUCCCAACAUCUGUAGGACUUACCUUAGUGGGUAUUUUUAUCAAUUUAAUAUCACCUUUAUCAAUUAUAUCUCUAAUGAAAUGAAAUUUAACAUCAAUAUGCUUUGACCUAUCAUGAAAAACUAGAUUUUUACUUAAGAAAAUAGCACUUUGAUUGUCAGAACAUAACUCUACUUGACUUUCUAUAAGACCUAAUUCAUUUAACAGUCCUUUAAGCCACAGUUCCUCUUUAAUAGCUUCAGUGGCAGUAACAUAUUCUGCCUCAGUAGAGGAUAAGGCAACUAUUUUCUGAAGUUGUGACUUCCAACUAAUGCAAGUAUUAUUUAUGACAUAAAAGUAUGCAGAAGUAGACUUUCUAUUAUCCAAGUUUCCAGCAGAAUCUGAAUCAACAUAACCUUUUAGUUUAAAACCAUCUUUACUUGCUUUAAACAUAAGUCCUAGAUUACAUGUCCCUUUCAAAUAUUUACUCAGGUUUUUCAUACAUUCCCAAUGAAAUUCACCUGGAUUACUCAUGAAUCUACUUAAUACACUUACAACAUAUGCUAUAUCAGGUCUAGUACAUACCAUUACAUACAUAACUGAUCCAACAGCAUUAGCAUAAGGCACAUUUAUCAUUCUUUUAAAUUGUUCUUCUGUUUUAAGUGAUUGUUCAACAGAUAAUUUCAUGCAAGCAGACAAAGGUAAACUGACAGACUUAGCAUCCUUAAGGAAAAUCUUUUAACCACUUUUUCAAUGUAAGAUUUUUAAGUUAAAAAUAACUUGCCAUUUAUUAUGUCUAUUAUAAUUUCCAUGCCUAAAAUCUUUCUUGUAGGACCCAGAUCCUUCAUUUGAAAUUCCAAUUCCAAUUUUUCUUUUAUGGAAUUAAGUGUAAUAGAAUUAUGACCAGCCAACAACAUAUCAUCAACAUAUAAAAGGAGGUAAAAGAAUUUAGAAUCACUAUUCUUCUUAAAAUAAAAACAAGGAUCAAAGUCUGAUUUCUUGAACUCUAGGCCCUGUAUAAAAGAAUCAAAUCUUUUAUACCAUUGCCUAGGAGUCUGUUUUAAGUCAUAUAAUGAUUUAUUUAGAAGAUACACUAGAUUACCUUUAUUUUUUGCCUCAAAACCUUUGGGUUGUGUCUUAUAUAUGGUUUCAUAUAAAGAACCAUACAAGAAGGCAAUCUUUACAUCAAGUUGCUAUAGUUCCAUAUCGAACUGAGUAACAAUGGCAAGGAGAAUUCUAAUAGAGGUGUAUUUAACUAUAGGUGAGAAGAUUUCGGUAUAGUCUAUCCCUUCUCUUUGAGUGAAGCCUUUAGCUACAAGGCUUGCCUUAUAUCUUUUAUUAGAUAUACUUGAAUCCCCCUCUUUAAUCUUAUAUACCCAUUUACAAUCAACCAAUUUACGUUCUUCAGGUUUCUUAACCAAUUCCCAAGUUUUGUUUUUAUGCAAAGAGUUUAUUUCAUCCUUCAUAGCUUCUAUCCAUUUUAAUGACUCUUUACAAGAUACUGCAUCCUCAUAGGAGUUGGGUUCAAGAUCAGAGGGGUCAAAAUUUGUUUCAACAGAUACAUACUCUGCAUAUUGAUAUCUGGAGGGAGGUCUUAUUUCCCUCUUUUCCCUAUCUCAUGCAAGCUGAUAAUUUUGCAGCUCAUGUACUAAGCUUAGUUCCUGAUUAUCAUUCAAAAUUUCAGCAUCUGAAAUGUCAUUAAGCUUUGUUUGAGGCCGUUCCACCUCAAACUGAGUGCCCAUCAGUGUUUUCCUUAUUCAACUCAAUUUCUAUGAUAAUAAAGUCAUCAUCCUUUUUGCUUUAAUGGGUUUUGUCACGAGACAUGGAAAUUCAUCCUCAUUGAAGAUCACAGACCUACUUAUUAUCACCUUAUAGCCUCUAAUAUCCCUUAACCAAAGUCUAUAGCCUUUAACUCCCUCUCUAUAUCCUAAGAAGACACUCUUUUGUGACCUAGGAUCCAAUUUUGAGUCAUAAUGGUAUGCAUAUGUAGCACAACCAAAGGUUCUGGGAUGGAAGUAGUCAAGCAUAGUACCAGACCAGAUUUGCUCAAGGAUUCUAUUAUCUAAGGAACUAGAGGGGCAUCUAUUCAAUAAGUAACAAGUUGUCUUUACAGCUUCCCCCCAAAAUAUUUUAGGCAUGCCAGAACUAAUCAACAUACAUCUGGUCCUUUCAAGAAUAGUUCUAUUUAAUCUCUCAACAACCUCAUUUUGUUGAGGUGUGUAGGUAACUGUAUUAUGUCUCAAUAUACCUUGAUUGCUAUAGAAUUGAUCAAAUUCUAUACUACAGAACUCCAACCCAUUAUCAAAUUCCGCAUCUGCCUGUGAAAAAUCAUAAUUUUCUGACACCGUUGGAAAAUCGCCG